UAGGGAAUCUUCGGCAAUGGGGGGAACCCUGACCGAGCAACGCCGCGUGAGUGAAGAAGGUUUUCGGAUCGUAAAGCUCUGUUGUUAAGGAAGAACGAGUGUGAGAAUGGAAAGUUCAUGCUGUGACGGUACUUAACCAGAAAGGGACGGUUAACUACGUGCCAGCAGCCGCGGUAAUACGUAGGUCCCGAGCGUUGUCCGGAUUUAUUGGGCGUAAAGCGAGCGCAGGCGGUUAGAUAAGUCUGAAGUUAAAGGCAGUGGCUCAACCAUUGUAGGCUUUGGUAACUGUUUAACUUGAGUGCAGAAGGGGAGAGUGGAAUUCCAUGUGUAGCGGUGAAAUGCGUAGAUAUGUGGAGGAACACCGGUGGCGAAGGCGGCUCUCUGGUCUGUAACUGACGCUGAGGCUCGAAAGCGUGGGGAGCGAACAGG
rnacentral:rRNA from 1 species